rnacentral:rRNA from 1 species
UACGUAGGUGGCAAGCGUUAUCCGGAAUUAUUGGGCGUAAAGAGCGCGCAGGUGGUUGAUUAAGUCUGAUGUGAAAAGCCCACGGCUUAACCGUGGAGGGUCAUUGGAAACUGGUCGACUUGAGUGCAGAAGAGGGAAGUGGAAUUCCAUGUGUAGCGGUGAAAUGCGUAGAGAUAUGGAGGAACACCAGUGGCGAAGGCGGCUUCCUGGUCUGUAACUGACACUGAGGCGCGAAAGCGUGGGGAGCAAACAGG